CUGAAAAGAAUGAAGUGUUGAGCGUUUGCCAAAUAAAGGAGGGGGGCAAAGGUUGCUAUUUAUCCCAGAAAAGUAGCCAACAUUAUGUCUAUUGAUGGGAAGGAACCUGAAGAAUUGUGGGAAGGAAGAGAGUUACUCCAGCUGCCAAUCAAGGGCCCGAAUUUCCAUGGGCUGCCAAUCAUAAUUAAAAGGAAUGUGGCAGUUCAGGAAGGUCGCGGCAGCAAGGAUCUCCCUGAACAAACACCGGGUCCCAGCUGAAAACCACUCCAAAGGCUCCGAGUGAUAAAACCACCGGCAUCUACAUGGGAGAUGCUUCCCACCUUGCCAAUAAGGAAGCCACUAAUCUGGAAUGCGAUGGGAGAAGUACCAGCAAUAGGCAGUGAAGCUUCCACCCCCAAAAGGGUUUAAAAUAAAACACUGGGAGCAUGACACCAGCUGCCAAAGCUGCAGCCUCCCCCCCCCCCACCAGCAGAGCAGCCCAGGAAUGCGGCCGGGAAUGCAGCCGGGGCUGGGAUGCAGCAGCCCGCAGCCGCACACCAGCUUCCCAGGAGCGGUUCCCUCCCGACCACAGCCUGACAUAAUGGACAGGCAGCUCCUGCAUCAACACUGACAGCCCCAGCAGAGGGGAAAGCUCCUUCCCGUGUUUCUCCUGGGGGCUCUUCCAGCCUCCACAUCCCCUGAGGGGGGAUUCAGUGCAGGCCAUGACUCUUG